rnacentral:lncRNA from 10 species
ACAUGAACACUUGCAUAAUCUCGUACAUGGGACUCACAGAAAAUGCAACCCCUAAUAUAGAUGAGCUCGCAAUGAAAAAUUAUCCACCACUGUGGCAAUGCAGUCACCAAAAGGAAGACUCAACAGACCAAUGAGCAUAGACACGAGCUGUGGAGUAUGAUCAGCUUGUCGAAAGAAUGAAUCAAUGACACUCUGUCUUCGUGGAGAGCAGCCUGGGUGUGGAAUCAGGCACCCCCGGGUUCAAAGCCAUCACUGGCGAACUCACAAAGAGUGGGACUCACCGACCUGAGGGUUUGCCAGCACACUCGUAGCCCGCGGGACUAGAGUAUUUGUGAGAGAGGAGUGUGGUCUUUUGAUUGAAGAACAGAAGUCAUUCGUGAAGGACACAGCACACACAGCCCAGAGAGCUCGCAGGUUAAAACUGCACAUGGAGCAAUGUCUGCCAGCCAUUCAGGGUACUUCAAAAUAGGUCAGAAUACGUUUCCAGAAAGUGACACCUUCUUUUUGGGUUUGCGUAUAAUAAUAAAUCUAGGGGAUAAGAACA